rnacentral:rRNA from 1 species
UACAGAGGGGGCAAGCGUUGUUCGGAAUUACUGGGCGUAAAGGGCGCGUAGGCGGCCCGCUAAGUCGAACGUGAAAUCCCCGAGCUCAACUCGGGAACUGCGUCCGAUACUGGCGGGCUUGAAUCCGGGAGAGGGAUGCGGAAUUCCAGGUGUAGCGGUGAAAUGCGUAGACAUCUGGAGGAACACCGGUGGCGAAGGCGGCAUCCUGGACCAACACUGACGCUGAGGAGCGAAAGCCAGGGGAGCAAACGGG